rnacentral:rRNA from 1 species
GAUGAACGCUAGCUACAGGCUUAACACAUGCAAGUCGAGGGGAAACGAUAGAGAAAGCUUGCUUUUUCUAGGCGUCGACCGGCGCACGGGAGAGUAACGCGUAUCCCACCUGCCUAUCACUUGGGGAUAACCUUGCGAAAGUAAGACUAAUACCCAAUGAUAUCUCUAGAAGACGUCUGAAGGAGAUUAAAGAUUUAUCGGUGAUGGAUGGGGAUGCAUCUGAUUAGCUUGUUGGCGGGGUAACGGCCCACCAAGGCGACGAUCAGUAGGGGUUCGGAGAAGAAGGACCACCACAUUGGAACUGAGGCACGGUCCAAACUCCCACGGAGGGCAGCAGUGAGGAAUAUUGGGCAAUGGGCGAGGGCCUGAACCAGCCAAGUAGCGUGCAGGAUGACGGCCCUAUGGGUUGUAAACUGCUUUUAUAAGGGAAUAAAGUGAGUCUCGUGAGGCUUUUUGCAUGUACCUUAUGAAUAAGGACCGGCUAAUUCCGUGCCAGCAGCCGCGGUAA